UUAUGGCCACAUCAUGCUGAAACAUUAGUUCCCAUAUGAUCACCAAAGUUAAGCAACAUCAAGUCUGGUAAGUACCUAGAUGGAUGACCACAUGGGAAUAUUAGGCACUGUAAG